ACAGUGCCCAAGGGGCAGGUGUGCAGUGGCGGUCAAUAAGAGAGAGGAAGUUGGUUGGUAUCUAGUGAAUAGUUAAAAGCUAUCUAAUCAUGCUUGUUGGAUUUCAUUCGACUAACUGAUCCAUGUUUCGUUUCGAACAGAUCGGAGUAAGGAGGAUGGUGAGGAAAGGUACGUGGGUCUCUUCCUAUUCUCGCUGUAAAGUGAAUCGUUCGUUUGCACUGUGGUAGGAGUAUCGCUGGAACCCAAGUGAUUCACACGUUAGUUCAUCAGUAUUCAAUCUCUACAUACAAAGAUGCAAGUAGAUCUAUAUAGCUGUGCUUACUCUAUAGAAACGGACAUGAAUAUUCACUGUAAAGAAAUGGAAAAGCAGUUGACUAAGUAGGAAACGCCAUUACUUGAACUGAAGGGGUCAUAGAUAUAUGAAGUUCUCCCAUAGAUUAGGUGUAUAAAUAAUUGGGGAUUGUAAAUCAUGACCACGCUUUUUGUGAAACUUAAUGUGGUUAUAGUACGUUGAUGUUGUCAAUAAAUUGUUGAUGUCAAAUAACUAUGUAUUCGUUGUUAUGUUACUAAGUCAAAUUGAAGAUAUAGAGUUGUUGAUGUUGUCAAUAAAUUGUUGAUGUCAAAUAAUUAUGUAUUCAUUGUUAUGUUACUAAGUCAAAUUGAAGACAUAAUCUGAGUUGUGUCAGUAGCAUUGUAGUGUGCAGCAUAGCCGUGGUAAUGUAUAGGUCAGACGGUUAUUUACACAGUAUUAGUGUUUGUACCCGAUAUUUUAUAUGAUUAUAUUUGUUCAUUACAACUCUAGUUUGUUGAUGCUAAAAUUGAUUAGACUACGACUACAAUUCAUCUUUUUUAUAUUGACCCGUGUAGAAUGACAACAGAAGAACUGUGCCCUAUGAGUGAUAUUAAAAAGACAUUCCAGUGGUACGAUGAUUGGUACAGAAAGAUUAGUACCAAUAUUACUGGGAAGGUACACUUGUAUUGGCUAAUUGUCAUUAAUUGAUAAUAUACUAAUAUCUAAUUUUCUAGAACACGAGUUUUUGUAUUUUAGGAAACAAUUAGGAUUGAUGGAUUGUCAGUAGUGCGAGAGUUGGGUUGCCUGCUAAAUAGCACACAACUACGUGUUAGCCAUACUUGCACAGAGAGCAACAAUUGACAAAUAAGUCUUU
rnacentral:lncRNA from 1 species